rnacentral:rRNA from 1 species
AUGCCGUUCAACAGAUUAGCUGCUGUACCUGUACUACUAUUAUGGCUCGUCUCAGUGCUUGCCGCAAGGUUCCCACUGCUUGGAGCAGCAUCGCCACAACCUAGCAGUAAGUGCCAAAGAAAAUGCGGCAGCGUAGACAUCCCUUACCCAUUCGGGAUCGUCCAUUCACCCGACGACGACGAAGGCGACGACGACGGCCACUGCGCCAUGAACGGCUUUGGCCUGACCUGCAACGAGACAGGGACUAAUGGUGGGCGCCACAGGCCAUUUGCAGCUGGCAACGUGGAGGUCGUCGGCGUCUCGCUGCAGCAAGGUCAGGCCCGGAUGCUGAAUGAUAUCUCCGAUUAUUGCUACAACACCACCACUCGGGAGAUGGUCCGCGACGAGUGGUCGCUGGACUUCGCGGGCACACCCUACAUGUUCUCUGACACCACCAACAAGUUCACGGUCAUCGGUUGCCAAACCCUGGCGUACAUCAACGGCGACGAUGGCGACUAUGGCGAUGGCGGCGACAAGUACAUGAGUGGGUGUGUGGCCAUGUGCCGGGGAGACGAUGUGAGGACGACCCUGAGCAACGGCUCCUGCUCCGGGAUAGGGUGCUGCCAGACCGCCAUCCCCAAGGGGCUGCAGUACUACUACGUGGAGUUCGACUCUGGCUUCAACACGACCGAGAUCCACAACGUCAGCCGCUGCAGCUACGCGGUGCUCAUGGACUCGUCCAACUUCACCUUCUCGACGACCUAUGCGACCUCGCCGGCGUUCAUUAACAACAACGGUGGCCAGGCGCCGUUCGUCAUGGAUUGGGCCAUCGGGAACGAGACGUGCGACGUAGCCCGCAAGAAGCCUGUGUCCUACGCGUGCGUCAGCAACAACAGCGAGUGCUUCAACUCGCUCAAUGGACCAGGCUACAUCUGCAACUGUUCCAAAGGUUUCCAUGGUAAUCCUUACCUGCAAGAUCCGGAGCACGGAUGCAAAGACAUUGAUGAAUGCAAGCUCCCUCAUCUGUAUCGCUGCACAAAUGGCGGAGUCUGCAGAAACAGGUUGGGAGGCUAUGACUGUCCAUGCAAAUUUAGAUUGAAAGGCCACGCCAAAGGGGGAACCUGCAUAGAUCAUUUCCCUCUAGCAGCAAAGGUGGCAGUCUGUACAAUAGGUGGCAUUCUUCUCAUGGUGAUUAUAUCGUUUCUUGUUAUUCUUCACAAAGAGAAAAAGAAGACGGAAGAAUUCUUCAAAAAGAAUGGUGGCCCUACAUUAGAGAAGGCAAUUGUCAUUAAACUUUUCAAAAAGGACGAGCUCAAGCCUAUUUUGAAGAAGAGCAACUUUAUUGGAAAAGGUUGCUUUGGUGAAGUUUACAAGGGCAUUCUUGACAAUAAACUAGUUGCAGUAAAGAAGCCGAUUAAUGGUUCUGUGCUAGAGAGUGACCAAUUUGCAAAUGAAGUCAUCAUUCAAUCUCAAGUCAUCCACAAGAACAUUGUUAGGCUCAUUGGUUGUUGCCUUGAAGUCGAUGCCCCCAUGCUGGUCUACGAGUUUAUCUCCCAAGGUAGCCUCCAUGACAUUCUUCACAACAGCAAUAACAAGGUGGCUCUCAACUUGGAUGCCCGUCUAAGUAUUGCUGCACAUUCAGCCGAUGGUCUAGCUUAUAUGCACUCAAAAACAAAUACUAGAAUUCUACACGGUGAUGUGAAAACAGCUAAUAUACUUUUGGAUGAUAACUUCAUACCCAAGAUUUCAGAUUUCGGCAUAUCUAGGCUGAUUGCAUGUGACAAGGAACACACUGCAUCAAUCAUUGGCGACAGGAAUUAUAUGGAUCCGGUGUAUCUACAAGAAGGCUUACUCACUGAAAAAAGUGAUGUCUACAGUUUUGGAGUUGUGAUCCUGGAACUUAUUAGCAGGGAGAGGGCAAUGCAUUCUGAUAAUAAUAAGUUGGUAAAGAAUUUUCUUGAAGCCCAUAAGAAACAAAAGAAAGCAACCCAGUUUUUCGACAAGGAAAUUGCAAUAACAAAUGAUUUGGAGAUCCUUGAAAAUUUAGCAAGUAUAGCUGUGGAAUGCCUUAGCCUUGACGUGGAUCAAAGGCCAACAAUGAUGGAGGUAGCUGAGAGGCUACUCAUACUAAGCCGAUCUUGUAAGUUGUAA